rnacentral:rRNA from 1 species
GUUUGGUGGCGAUAGCGAAGAGGUCACACCCGUUCC